rnacentral:rRNA from 1 species
UACGGGGGGGGUAAGCGUUGUUCGGAAUUACUGGGCGUAAAGGGCUCGUAGGCGGCCAACUAAGUCAGACGUGAAAUCCCUCAGCUUAACUGGGGAACUGCGUCUGAUACUGGAUGGCUUGGAUUCGGGAGAGGAAUGCGGAAUUCCAGGUGUAGCGGUGAAAAUGCGUAGAUAUCUGGAGGAACACCGGUGGCGAAGGCGGCGUUCUGGACUGCAACUGACACUGAAAAACGAAAGCCAGGGGAGCAAACGGG